UACAGAAAAAGUCUUAACAUCUGACUGUGUGCACUUCAGAUAUGGAAGUCCCAAGUUCCUUUCCUUCCUCUUCUUACUUACCAUCAAACAGGAGAGAUCCCGGAUGAGCAAAUUUUUGCUCCUUUGGGGCUGGUGGAUUGAGCAGAUUUUCCUGUUGGAGUGGUUCUGUUGCAUAAAAACCCCAUUCCAGGUUCUCACUCUGAAACACCAAGAGAUCUUCUGGUUUGGCUUUUUUUUCCUCACCCAACAGACGAACCUCCCUGUUGUUCCUGUGUGAUCUCAGAUCUCUAUGGAUGGUGAAACAUUUGAGAUACAGAAGCUUUUAAAGUGUAUGAAGAAACCAUUAAGUACAUUAUGAAAGUGUUGAGGCCAAAGGAUCUGAGCCAACUCUUUGCAUACCCAGCUCUAAUGGACCUACUAUUUACCCA